rnacentral:misc_RNA from 1 species
UUUUUUUUCCCUUUACUUUUUGUUUUUGAAAUUUUCCUAGCACGAUAUUCUUUGUAUGUGAUUGUAAGUUUUUCAUCGGAAUCGAGAAAAGGAAAACUUAUUUAAAAGUUUGUAGGACUUUUCUCCGUGGCAUCUUCGUCUUCUGAUGGUGUUGGUGGUUGAGUGGUUGCACAUACCAUUUGGUCAGUGGUUUUAUCGAGUCUUCACUUAGAUUGUGAAAGGCGAGUGUCAAUGGAAGUGGUAUUUGGCUGUUGGCUCAAAUGAUUGUAAUUAAUUGAGAUACAAUUUGACCUAGCAACGGAAAUCUCAACGACCA